rnacentral:tRNA from 1 species
GGACGAGUGGCAGAGUGGUCUAAUGCGUCUGACUUGAAAUCAGAUGUGCUCUCACGGGCACCGUGGGUUCGAAUCCUACCUCGUCCGCCC